GGAUGCCUUGGCGAUUACAGGCGACGAAGGACGUGAUAGCCUGCGAUAAGCUUCGGGGAGCUGGCAAAUUAGCUUUGAUCCGGAGAUUUCCGAAUGGGGGAACCCACCCGCAAGGGUAUCGCAUACUGAAUACAUAGGUAUGCGAGGCGAACCGAGUGAACUGAAACAUCUCAGUAGCUCGAGGAAAAGACAUCAACCGAGAUUCCGUUAGUAGUGGCGAGCGAACGCGGACCAGGCCA
rnacentral:rRNA from 11 species